UGUCUCAGUUCGGAUUGGAGUCUGCAACCCGACUCCAUGAAGCUGGAUUCGCUAGUAAUCGCGCAUCAGCCACGGCGCGGUGAAUACGUUCCCGGGCCUUGUACACACCGCCCGUCAAGCCAUGGAAGCCGGGAGUGCCUGAAGUGCGUGACCGCAAGGAGCGUCCUAAGGCAAUACCGGUGACUGGGGCUAAGUCGUAACAAGGUAAC
rnacentral:rRNA from 1 species